GAUGAACGCUGGCGGCGUGCUUAACACAUGCAAGUCGAACGGAAAGGCCAGUGCUUUCCCUGGUGCUCGAGUGGCGAACGGGUGAGUAACACGUGGGUGAUCUGCCCUGCACUUUGGGAUAAGCCUGGGAAACUGGGUCUAAUACCAGAUAGGACCAUGUUUUGGAUGGUGUGGUGGAAAGAUUUUUGGGUGUGGGGUGAGCUUUCGGCCUAUCAGCUUGUUGGUGGGGUAAUGGCCUACCAAGGCGUCGACGGGUAGCCGGGCUGAGAGGGUGUACGGCCACACUGGGACUGAGGUACGGCCCAGGCUCCUACGGGGGGGCACCGUGGGGAAUAUUGCCCAAUGGGCGCAAGGCGGAUGAAGCGAGGCCGCGUGGCGGAUGACGGGCUUCCGGUUGUAAAACCCUUUCGCAACUGACGGAGCUUUUUGUGACGGUAGGUGGUGAAGAAGCACCGGCUAACUACGUG
rnacentral:rRNA from 1 species